AGUGAACGCUGGCGGCAUGCCUAACACAUGCAAGUCGAACGGCAGCAUAGUAUGAGCUUCUUGGUACGGGGCGCGAGUCGCAGGCGUGUGUGGUGUACCUCAACGUGUCCUUUUUCGGGGGGUAUCGUGGAGAGAGACAUGCUCUUAUAGCACAUUCUACGUGCGGGUGAGAGCAGGAGAUCUUCGCACUUCGCGCGAAUGACUGCGCCGAUGUCGGAUUAGCUAGUUGGCGGGGUAAAGGCCCACCAAGGCGACGAUCCGUAGCGGGUCUGAGAGGAUGAUCAGCCACACUGGAACUGAGACACGGUCCAGACUCCUACGGGAGGCAGCAGUGGGGAAUUUUGGACAAUGGGCGCAAGCCUGAUCCAGCCAUGCCGCGUGAGUGAAGAAGGCCUUCGGGUUGUAAAGCCCUUUUGUCGGGGAAGAAAAGCAGCCGGCUAAUACAGCGCUGUUAUGACGGUACCCACAUAAGAAGCACCGGCUAACUUCGUG
rnacentral:rRNA from 1 species